CCUACGGGUGACUGCAGUGAGGAAUAUUGGUCAAUGGGCGCGAGCCUGAACCAGCCAAGUAGCGUGAAGGAUGACUGCCCUACGGGUUGUAAACUUCUUUUAUAAAGGAAUAAAGUGAGGCCCGUGUGCCUUUUUGUAUGUACUUUAUGACUAAGGAUCGGCUAACUCCGUGCCAGCAGCCGCGGUAAUACGGAGGAUCCGAGCGUUAUCCGGAUUUAUUGUGUUUAAAGGGAGCGUAGAUGGGUUGUUAAGUCAGUUGUGAAAGUUUGCGGCUCAACCGUAAAAUUGCAAUUGAUACUGGCAGUCUUGAGUACAGUUGAGGUAGGCGGAAUUCGUGGUGUAGCGGUGAAAGGCUUAGAUAUCACGAAGAACUCCGAUUGCGAAGGCAGCUUACUAAACUGCCACUGACAUUGAUGCUCGAAAGUGUGGGUAUCAAACAGGAUUAGAUACCCGGGUAGUC
rnacentral:rRNA from 1 species